rnacentral:tRNA from 1 species
GCCGAAGUGGCGGAAUUGGUAGACGCGCUAGGUUCAGGACUUAGUGGGUGUAUGCCUGUGCGGGUUCGAGUCCCGCCUUCGGCACCA